CAGCGGCAGUGGUCUGUAUGGACUGACUGCACAGAGACCCACAUCGGUCUGUAUGGACUGAUGUAACAGCAUGAUAACACCAACAUUGGCCUGUAUGGACUGACAGCACAGAGACACCGAUGUCAGUCUGUAUGGACUGAUAGCACAGAGACCAACAGUGGUCUGUAUGGACUGACAUAACAGCAUGAUAACACCAACAUUGGUCUGUAUGGACUGACAGCACAGGGACCCACUUCGGUGUGUAUGGACUGACUGCAGAGAGACCAACAUUGGUCUGUAUGGACUGAUAGCACAGAGAUCAACAUUGCUCUGUAUGGACUGACAUAACAGCAUAACACCAACAUUGGAGUGUAUGGACUGACUGCACAGGGACCCACUUCGGCCUGUAUGGACUGACAGCACAGAGACAGCAACGUCGGUCUGUAUGGACUGACAGCACAGAGAUCAACAGUGGUCUGUAUGGACUGACUGCACAGAGACCCACAUCGGUGUGUACAGACUGAUAGCACAGAGACACCAACGUCAGUCUGUAUUGGUGUGUAUGGACUGACAGCACAGAGACCAGCAUUGGUGUGUAUGGACUGACAUAACAGUGUGAUAACACCAAUGUCAGUCUGUACCCACUGAUAUAACAUCAUAACACCAACAUCAGUGUGUAUGGACUGCUAUAAUGCUGUGAUAACACCAAUGUCAGUCUGUGCCCAUUGAUAUAACACCGUGAUAACACCAACAUCAGUGUGUAUGGACUGAUAUAACGCUGUGAUAACACCAAUGUCAGUCUGUACCCACUGAUAUAACAUCAUAACACCAACAUCAGUGUGUAUGGACUGAUAUAACGCUGUGAUAACACCAAUGUCAGUCUGUGCCCAUUGAUAUAACACCGUGAUAACACCAACAUCAGUGUGUAUGGACUGAUAUAACGCUGUGAUAACACCAAUGUCAGUCUGUACCCACUGAUAUAACAUCAUAACACCAACAUCAGUGUGUAUGGACUGCUAUAAUGCUGUGAUAACACCAGUGUCAGUCUGUGCCCAUUGAUAUAACACCGUGAUAACACCAACAUCAGUGUGUAUGGACUGAUAUAACACCGUGAUACCACCAACGUCAGUCUGUAUGGACUGACAGCACAGAGACACCGACGUUGGUCUGUAAGGACUGACGUAACAGCAUGAAAGCACCAACAUCAGUCUGUUCUGACUGACAUAACACCACGAGGACACCAACAUCAGUCUGUUCUGACUGACACAACAGCAUGGCAGCACCAAUAUCGGCCUGUAUGGACUGUUGUAACAGUGUGAUGGCCCCAAUGUCAGCCUGUACUGCCUGAUAUAACACCACAAUAACACUGACAUCAGCCUGUACUGCCUGACAUAACACCACGACGACACCAAUGUCAGCCUGGUCCAACUGACACCCCAUGGCAGCACCAACAUCAGGCUGUACUGACUGACAUAACACCAUGAGGACACCAACAUCAGUCUGUUCCGACUGACACAACAGCAUGGCAGCACCAAUAUCGGCCUGUAUGGACUGCUGUAACACUGUGAUGGCCCCAAUGUCAGCCUGUUCUGACUGACAUAACACCGUGAUGACCCCAAUGUCAGCCUGUUCCGACUGACAUAACACCAUGAGGACCCCAAUGUCAGCCUGGUCCAACUGACACCCCAUGGCAGCACCAACACCAGGCUGUACUGACUGACAUAACACCAUGAGGACAGCAGCAUCAGGCUGUAUUGACUGACAUAACAGCAUGGCAGCACCAAUAUCGGCCUGUAUGGACUGUUGUAACACUGUGAUGGCCCCAAUGUCAGCCUGUACUGCCUGAUAUAACACCACGAUAACACUGACAUCAGCCUGUACUGCCUGAUAUAACACCAUAGCACUGACAUCAGCCUGUACUGCCUGAUAUAACACUGUGAUAACACUGACAUCAGCCUGUACUGCCUGAUAUAACACCGUGAUAACACUGACAUCAGCCUGUACUGCCUGAUAUAACACCGUGAUAACACUGACAUCAGCCUGUACUGCCUGAUAUAACACUGUGAUAACACUGACAUCAGCCUGUACUGCCUGAUAUAACACCAUAACACUGACAUCAGCCUGUACUGCCUGAUAUAACACCACCAUAACACUGACAUCAGCCUGUACUGCCUGAUAUAACACCGUGAUAACACUGACAUCAGCCUGUACUGCCUGAUAUAACACUGUGAUAACACUGACAUCAGCCUGUACUGCCUGAUAUAACACCAUGAUAACACUGACAUCAGCCUGUACUGCCUGAUAUAACACCAUAGCACUGACAUCAGCCUGUACUGCCUGAUAUAACACCACAAUAACACUGACAUCAGCCUGUACUGCCUGAUAUAACACUGUGAUAACACUGACAUCAGCCUGUACUGCCUGAUAUAACACCACAAUAACACUGACAUCAGCCUGUACUGCCUGAUAUAACACCAUAGCACUGACAUCAGCCUGUACUGCCUGAUAUAACACCACAAUAACACUGACAUCAGUCUGUACUGCCUGAUAUAACACCGUGAUAACACUGACAUCAGCCUGUACUGCCUGAUAUAACACUGUGAUAACACUGACAUCAGCCUGUACUGCCUGAUAUAACACUGUGCUAACACUGACAUCAGCCUGUACUGCCUGAUAUAACACCACAAUAACACUGACAUCAGCCUGUACUGCCUGAUAUAACACCAUAGCACAGACAUCAGCCUGUACUGCCUGAUAUAACACUGUGAUAACACUGACAUCAGCCUGUACUGCCUGAUAUAACACUGUGAUAACACUGACAUCAGCCUGUACUGCCUGAUAUAACACCACAAUAACACUGACAUCAGCCUGUACUGCCUGAUAUAACACCACCAUAACACUGACAUCAGCCUGUACUGCCUGAUAUAACACCAUGAUAACAUAUACAUCAGCC
ensembl:lncRNA